rnacentral:lncRNA from 1 species
GAUGGAGGGAGUACUUAAUAGAAUGCUUUGGCUUGAGAAAUCACAUCAUCUAGAUGGAUGGGUCCAUCGAAGAGUCAUUGCAUGAAUUGUUGAUAGCCUGAACACAUCCAUCAUCAUUGAGCUAACGAUGUGUUUGUGAGGAAUGAGAUGGUAAUGUUUCCAAACAAGAAUAUGUAAAGUUCGAAGGCAUUGGAACACCCCAUUUAUCAAAUGAAACAUCCUCUAAUAUUUCAAAUAGUUUCUUUGUUGUUACAUAAAAUCUCUACCUAUAAUAUUAAAAGCGAGUAAGGCUUCUACCUCUUUUUCCCCGUACGUCUAUAGUAAACCGAAAGAAAAUCGGAGAAAACCAGGGUAAAGGAGUGAAAACCGGACAAAAACCGUCCCGCAUGAACCGGAGAAAAAGAAAAACUGCUAACCUCCCGCGUAAAACCUAAAUCCCUCAAAAGUAUAGAAUUGAGUAGAAAU